rnacentral:lncRNA from 1 species
AAAAGCUCAGUUUAGGGUUUAAAACCCCUAAUGCUGGCUGAAUGGAAAAAGUUCAGUUUAGGGUUUAAAACCCUAAUGCUGACUAAAGGGAAAAUUCAGUUUAGGUUUUAAAACCCUAAUGCUGAUUACAUGGAAAAAGCUCAGUUUAGGGUUUAAAACCCUAAUGCUGGCUGAAUGGAAAAGCUCAGUUUAGGGUUUAAAACCCUAAUGCUGGCUAAAGGAAAAAGUUCAGUUUAGGGUUUAAAACCCUAAUGCUGAUUACAUGGAAAAAGCUUAGUUUAGGGUUUAAAACCCUAAUGCUGGUUGAAUGGAAAAGCUCAGUUUAGGGUUUAAAACCCUAAUGCUGAUGGCUGGGGACAAAAUUCGAGAGCAAUAACUGACUUCUUUUUUUUUUGAAUUUUCUUGUUUUAGUAAAGAUAAAAGGGAGUUUCGUGGAAACUUACCUUUCGAGUGAAUUCCUUAUUGCCAAAAUGUUUCUUGUACCCAUGUACCUUCUCCUUUUGGCAACACCUGCUUCUUGCACGGUUGUCUCGGAUUAAACCUGUUUCAACUUUUCAGACAAAGAACAAUUGUUAGUUCGGAAAUGACGGUCGGUUCGGUGACCUUGAUCGUUCCCAGUUGCUUUGUUGCGUUUCUAUUUCUGUUGCGAAGUCCCGCCAUUGAUUUGAUUCGAAUGGCGAAACCCUUUAGAUUGCUCAGGCUUGUAUUUCCAGAUUCUGUGAUGACUUGCUUCGUAAGGCUCUCCUCUUUUCUUUUCC